rnacentral:rRNA from 1 species
CCUACGUGAGGCAGCAGUGGGGAAUAUUGGACAAUGGGGGAAACCCUGAUCCAGCGACGCCGCGUGAGUGAAGAAGUAUUUCGGUACGUACAGCUCUAUCAGCAGGAAAGAAAAUGACGGUACCUGACUAAGAAGCCCCGGCUAACUACGUGCCAGCAGCCGCGGUAAUACGUAGGGGGCAAGCGUUAUCCGGAUUUACUGGGUGUAAAGGGAGCGUAGACGGCAGCGCAAGUCUGGAGUGAAAUGCCGGGGCCCAACCCCGGAACUGCUUUGGAAACUGUGCGGCUGGAGUGCAGGAGGGGUAAGCGGAAUUCCUAGUGUAGCGGUGAAAUGCGUAGAUAUUAGGAGGAACACCGGUGGCGAAGGCAGCUCACUGGACUGCAACUGACACUGAGGCUCGAAAGUGUGGGUAUCAAACAGGAUUAGAUACCCGAGUAGUC